CCACAUACAUGUGCUGACGUCGAAGGCUUGAACCCCAGACCUGUGGUAACCCUCUCUAACGGCCUGGAAGUCGUCUGUGACACGGUGACCGCGAAUGGAGGCUGGAUCGUGAUACAGAGACGAGCUUCGGCUGACGUGGACUUUUACCAGGGCUGGGCAAGCUACAAGUACGGCUUUGGCGACCCCCAUGGCAAUUUCUGGCUGGGUCUGGAGAAAGUCCACCAGUUAACAACCCAGAGGCGGUAUGAACUUCGGGUCGAUCUGGGCUUCAACGGCAACACGUAUUAUGCUAGUUACAGUAACUUUUCUCUGCAUGGUGAACCGGAGAACUACGCCCUACAGAUAGCCGGGUAUUCUGGCAACGCUUCAGACCCACUCACAGCCCUCAACGGCACGCCCUUCUCAACCAAAGACCGAGACAACGAUGCCUAUUCCAGUAGCUGUGCAGCAACGUACCACGGAGCUUGGUGGUAUACCUCAUGUCACGAAAGUAAUCUCAACGGGGACUGGGGAAACACAAAUUAUGCUUUGGGCCUGACUUGGCAUCCACUAACAGGUUAUCAUGACACUGUCUCCUUCAGCGAAAUGAAAAUCCGACCGCUUGAUAACUGACAACAUUGCGACACUGACAGUUACUUAAUUUGAUUGCUUUUUAGAAAUCCAUUUGUUUGUUUGUUUGUUUGUUUCCGUGCUUGUUUUGUUGUUGUUGUUGUUGUUGUUUUCAGUGGGAGGUAAACAACACUGAUACAACAAUAGCAAGAUUGCAAAAAUGUAAACCUGUAUUCUUUCCAUCUUUGCGGUCAAUUUUUAUGUGUUCGUGACAGUGGUUUUCCCCCCCCCCCCUUCUUACUU
rnacentral:misc_RNA from 1 species